CUCAGGUUAGCUCAGUGGUUAGAGCUUAGGUCUUGUAACCGGAAGGUCCCGGGAUCGAAUCCCGGUGGAGG
rnacentral:tRNA from 1 species